rnacentral:rRNA from 1 species
GCGGCUACUGCUAUCAGGUUUCGACUAAGCCAUGCGAGUCAAGGGGUCGUAAGACACCGGCGUACUGCUCAGUAACACGCGGACAAUCUACCCCCAGGUGGAGGAUAACCUCGGGAAACUGAGGCUAAUACCCCAUAGUUGUCAUGUGCUGGAAUGCUUUGACGAUGAAAGAAUUUCGCCUGAGGAUGAGUCUGCGGCCUAUCAGGUAGUAUGUGGUGUAAAGGACCACAUAGCCUAAGACGGGUACGGGCCUUGAAAGAGGGAGCCCGGAGAUGGACUCUGAGACACUAGUCCAGGCCCUACGGGGCGCAGCAGGCGCGAAAACUGUGCAAUGCGCGCAAGCGCGACACGGGAAGCCUGAGUGCCUUAACUAUGUUAAGGCUUUUCUUGAUCCUAAAAAGCUCAAGGAAUAAGAGCUGGGUAAGACGGGUGCCAGCCGCCGCGGUAACACCCGCGGCUCGAGUGGUAGUCACUUUUAUUGAGCCUAAAGCGUUUGUAGCCGGAUUUGUAAAUCUCUAGGAAAAUACUUCUGCUUAACUGAAGAAAUUUUGGAGAGACUGCAAAUCCAGGGACCGGGUGAGGUUGAAUGUACUUCUGGGGUAGGGGUAAAAUCCUGUAAUCCUGGAAGGACGACCGGUGGCGAAGGCGUUCAACUAGAACGGAUCCGACGGUGAGGAACGAAGGCUAGGGGAGCAAACCGGAUUAGAUACCCGGGUAGUCCUAGCUGUAAACACUGCCCACUUGGUGUUGCAUCUCCGGUAAGGGGGUGCAGUGCCGUAGCGAAGGUGUUAAGUGGGCCGCUUGGGGAGUAUGGUCGCAAGGCUGAAACUUAA